AUAUCAGAAGGCACACCCGGAGAACUGAAACAUCUUAGUACCCGGAGGAAGAGAAAGAAAAUUCGAUUCCCUUAGUAGCGGCGAGCGAAACGGGAAGAGCCCAAACCAACAAGCUUGCUUGUUGGGGGUGUAGGACACUCUAUACGGAGUUACAAAGGACGACAUUAGACGAAUCAUCUGGAAAGAUGAAUCAAAGAAGGUAAUAAUCCUGUAGUCGAAAAUGUUGUCUCUCUUGAG
rnacentral:rRNA from 1 species